CAAUGCCUGUGGAAGACAAGUCAGACCCCCCAGAGGGGUCUGAGGAAGCCGCAGAGCCCCGGAUGGACACACCAGAAGACCAAGAUUUACCGCCCUGCCCAGAGGACAUCGCCAAGGAAAAACGCACUCCAGCACCUGAGCCUGAGCCUUGUGAGGCGUCCGAGCUGCCAGCAAAGAGAUUGAGGAGCUCAGAAGAGCCCACAGAGAAGGAACCUCCAGGGCAGUUACAGGUGAAGGCCCAGCCGCAGGCCCGGAUGACAGUACCGAAACAGACACAGACACCAGACCUGCUGCCUGAGGCCCUGGAAGCCCAAGUGCUGCCACGAUUCCAGCCACGGGUCCUGCAGGUCCAGGCCCAGGUCCACACACAGGCACAGCCAAGCGUCCAGCCACAGGAGCAUCCUCCAGCGCAGGUGUCAGUACAGCCACCAGAGCAGACCCAUGAGCAGCCUCACACCCAGCCACAGGUGUCGUUGUUGGCUCCAGAGCAAACACCAGUUGUGGUUCCUGUCUGCGGGCUGGAGAUGCCACCUGAUGCAGUAGAAGCUGGUGGAGGCAUGGAAAAGACCUUGCCGGAGCCUGUGGGCACCCAAGUCAGCAUGGAAGAGAUUCAGAAUGAGUCGGCCUGUGGCCUAGAUGUGGGAGAAUGUGAAAACAGAGCGAGAGAGAUGCCAGGGGUAUGGGGCGCCGGGGGCUCCCUGAAGGUCACCAUUCUGCAGAGCAGUGACAGCCGGGCCUUUAGCACUGUACCCCUGACACCUGUCCCCCGCCCCAGUGACUCCGUCUCCUCCACCCCUGCGGCUACCAGCACUCCCUCUAAGCAGGCCCUCCAGUUCUUCUGCUACAUCUGCAA
rnacentral:sRNA from 1 species